GGGGAUGUAGCUUAGUGGCAGAGCAUUUGCCUCGAACGUGCAAGACCCUAGGUUCAAUCCCCAGCACCGCCA
rnacentral:tRNA from 1 species